rnacentral:tRNA from 1 species
GCCGCCGUAGCUCAGUGGUAGAGCACUCCCUUGGUAAGGGAGAGGUCGUGGGUUCAAGUCCCAUCAGCGGCU